GACCGUGUAGCUCAGCCGGAAGAGCAUUGGGCUAGUAUUCCAAAGGUCGUAGGUUCGAAUCCCACCGUGGCCG